UAGGGAAUCUUCCGCAAUGGGCGAAAGCCUGACGGAGCAACGCCGCGUGCGUGAUGAAGGUCUUCGGAUCGUAAAACUCUGUUAUUAGGGAAGAACAAAUGUGUAAGUAACUAUGCACGUCUUGACGGUACCUAAUCAGAAAGCCACGGCUAACUACGUGCCAGCAGCCGCGGUAAUACGUAGGUGGCAAGCGUUAUCCGGAAUUAUUGGGCGUAAAGCGCGCGUAGGCGGUUUUUUAAGUCUGAUGUGAAAGCCCACGGCUCAACCGUGGAGGGGCAUUGGAAACUGGAAAACUUGAGUGCAGAAGAGGAAAGUGGAAUUCCAUGUGUAGCGGUGAAAUGCGCAGAGAUAUGGAGGAACACCAGUGGCGAAGGCGACUUUCUGGUCUGUAACUGACGCUGAUGUGCGAAAGCGUGGGGAUCAAACAGG
rnacentral:rRNA from 1 species